rnacentral:rRNA from 1 species
ACUCCUACGGGAGGCAGCAGUGGGGAAUAUUGCACAAUGGGGGAAACCCUGAUGCAGCCAUGCCGCGUGUGUGAAGAAGGCCUCGGUUGUAAGACACUUUCAGUAGGGAGGAAGGUAGUGUAGUUAACACCUGCACUAUUUGUACGUUACCUACAGAAGAAGCACCGGCUAACUCCGUGCCAGCAGCCGCGGUAAUACGGAGGGGUGCGAGCGUUAAUCGGAAUUACUGGGCGUAAAGCGCAUGCAGGCGGCCUGUUAAGUCAGAUGUGAAAGCCCGGGGGCUUAACCUCGGAAUUGCAUUUGAAACUGGCAGGCUAGAGUCUUGUAGAGGGGGUAGAAUUUCAGGUGUAGCGGUGAAAUGCGUAGAGAUCUGAAGGAAUACCAGUGGCGAAGGCGGC